rnacentral:rRNA from 1 species
GACGAACGCUGGCGGCGUGCUUAACACAUGCAAGUCGAGCGGUAAGGCUCCUUCGGGAGUACACGAGCGGCGAACGGGUGCGUAACACGUGAGUAAUCUGCCCUUCACUUCGGGAUAACCACCGGAAACGGUGGCUAAUACCGAAUACGACCAGUCUUCGCAUGAGGUGCUGGUGGAAAGUCUUUUCGGUGAAGGAUGUGCUCGCGGCCUAUCAGCUUGUUGGUGGGGUAAUGGCCUACCAAGGCUUCGACGGGUAGCCGGCCUGAGAGGGUGACCGGCCACACUGGGACUGAGACACGGCCCAGACUCCUACGGGAGGCAGCAGUGGGGAAUAUUGGACAAUGGGCGAAAGCCUGAUCCAGCAACGCCGCGUGAGGGAUGACGGCCUUCGGGUUGUAAACCUCUUUCAGUACCGACGAAGCGCCCUGUCGGGUGGUGACGGUAGGUACAGAAGAAGGACCGGCCAACUACGUG